AAUGGACGGAAGUCUGACCGAGCAACGCCGCGUGAGUGAAGAAGGUUUUCGGAUCGUAAAGCUCUGUUGUAAGAGAAGAACGAGUGUGAGAGUGGAAAGUUCACACUGUGACGGUAUCUUACCAGAAAGGGACGGCUAACUACGUGCCAGCAGCCGCGGUAAUACGUAGGUCCCGAGCGUUAUCCGGAUUUAUUGGGCGUAAAGCGAGCGCAGGCGGUUAGAUAAGUCUGAAGUUAAAGGCUGUGGGCUUAACCAUAGUACGCUUUGGAAACUGUUUAACUUGAGUGCAGAAGGGGAGAGUGAAAUUCCAUGUGUAGCGGUGAAAUGCGUAGAUAUAUGGAGGAACACCGGUGGCGAAAGCGGCUCUCUGGUCUGUAACUGACGCUGAGGCUCGAAAGCGUGGGGAGCAAACAGGAUUAGAUACCCUGGUAGUCCACGCCGUAAACGAUGAGUGCUAGGUGUUGGGUCCUU
rnacentral:rRNA from 1 species